CCUACGGGUGGCAGCAGUGAGGAAUAUUGGUCAAUGGGCGGGAGCCUGAACCAGCCAAGCCGCGUGAGGGAAGAAGGUACAGCGUAUCGUAAACCUCUUUUGUCAGGGAACAAAGGCGGGGACUAGUCCCCGGCUGAGGGUACCUGAAGAAAAAGCAUCGGCUAACUCCGUGCCAGCAGCCGCGGUAAUACGGAGGAUGCGAGCGUUAUCCGGAUUUAUUGGGUUUAAAGGGUGCGCAGGCGGCCUGUUAAGUCAGCGGUAAAAGCCCGGGGCUCAACCCCGGCGAGCCGGUGAAACUGGAGGGCUGGAGUGGGAGAGAAGUAUGCGGAAUGCGUGGUGGAGCGGUGAAAUGCAUAGAGAGCGCGCAGAACCCCGAUUGCGAAGGCAGCGUACCGGCGCGAAACUGACGCUGAGGCACGAAAGCGUGGGUAUCGAACAGGAUUAGAUACCCUGGUAGUC
rnacentral:rRNA from 1 species